GAUGAACGCUGGCGGCGUGCCUAAUACAUGCAAGUCGAGCGAACAGACGAGGAGCUUGCUCCUCUGACGUUAGCGGCGGACGGGUGAGUAACACGUGGAGAACCUACCUAUAAGACUGGGAUAACUUCGUGAAACCGGAGCUAAUACCGGAUAAUAUAUUGAACCGCAUGGUUCAAUAGUGAAAGACGGUUUUGCUGUCACUUAUAGAUGGAUCCGCGCCGCAUUAGCUAGUUGGUAAGGUAACGGCUUACCAUGGCAACGAUGCGUAGCCGACCGGUCAGGGUGAUGGGCCACACUGGAACCGAGACACGGUCCAGCCUCCUACGGGAGGCAGAAGUAGGGACUCUUCCGCAAUGGGCGAAAGCCUGCCGGAGCAACGCCGCGUGAGUGCUGAAGGUCUUCGGAUCGUAAAACUCUGUUAUUAGGGAAGAACAAAUGUGUAAGUAACUAUGCACGUCUUGACGGUACCUACUCAGAAAGCCACGGCUAACUACGUG
rnacentral:rRNA from 1 species